CACCGCCCGUCACACCAUGGGAGUCAGUUGCUCUAGAAGUCGGUGCGCCAACCUCGGAGGCAGCCGCCUAAAGAGUUGAACUGGUUGACUGGGGUGAAGUCGUAACUAAGGUACC
rnacentral:rRNA from 1 species